AGCGAACGCUGGCGGCAGGCUUAACACAUGCAAGUCGAGCGGGCGUAGCAAUACGUCAGCGGCAGACGGGUGAGUAACGCGUGGGAACGUACCUUUUGGUUCGGAACAACUGAGGGAAACUUCAGCUAAUACCGGAUAAGCCCUUACGGGGAGAGAUUUAUCGCCGAAAGAUCGGCCCGCGUCUGAUUAGCUUGUUGGUGAGGUAACGGCUCACCAAGGCGACGAUCAGUAGCUGGUCUGAGAGGAUGAUCAGCCACAUUGGGACUGAGACACGGCCCAAACUCCUACGGGAGGCAGCAGUGGGGAAUAUUGGACAAUGGGCGCAAGCCUGAUCCAGCCAUGCCGCGUGAGUGAUGAAGGCCCUAGGGUUGUAAAGCUCUUUUAACGGGGAAGAUAAUGACGGUACCCGUAGAAUAAGCCCCGGCUAACUUCGUGCCAGCCGCCGCGGUAAGAC
rnacentral:rRNA from 1 species